AAGAGCUAUAUGAUCUUAUACUUCACACAAACAAAGAAUGCAUAAAACAAUGCAAGCCUGGUACAACCAUCCGCAAACUAAACACAUAUUCGACCGAGUUGUUGUGCGAUGGACUGAUGAAGAUGGGCAUCCUCAAAAGUCGUAGACUGUAUCACCAGCUGAAUCCGACCUCCAUAGGUCACUACCUUGGGAUGGAUGUGCAUGAUUCUUC